rnacentral:tRNA from 1 species
GCUCCCGUAGCUCAGGUGGAUAGAGCAUCUGCCUUCUAAGCAGAGGGUCGCAGGUUCGAGUCCUGCCGGGAGUGCCA